UACGAAGGGGGCUAGCGUUGUUCGGAAUUACUGGGCGUAAAGCGCGCGUAGGCGGAUCGGUCAGUUAGGGGUGAAAUCCCGGGGCUCAACCCCGGAACUGCCUCUAAUACUGCCGAUCUAGAGUUCGAGAGAGGUGAGUGGAAUUCCGAGUGUAGAGGUGAAAUUCGUAGAUAUUCGGAGGAACACCAGUGGCGAAGGCGGCUCACUGGCUCGAUACUGACGCUGAGGUGCGAAAGCUAGGGGAGCAAAAGGG
rnacentral:rRNA from 1 species